CCACUUUGGCAGUGCAUAUGUUAAAAUUGGAAUGAUAUUAAAAGAUUAGCAUGGGCUCUGUGUAAUGAUGACAUGCAAAUUUGUGAAGCAUUCCAUAUUUUU
ensembl:snRNA U6 U6 spliceosomal RNA